rnacentral:rRNA from 1 species
CCCUUAGAUGUUCUGGGCUGCACGCGCGCUACACUGAAGCUAUCAACACGUUUUCCCUCCCUGAGAAGGGCGGGUAACCUUUUGAAUCAGCUUCGUGGUAGGGAUCGGGGCUUGCAAUUGUUCCCCGUGAACCAGGAAUUCCUAGUAGACGCGAGUCAUAAGCUCGCAUCAAUUAAGUCCCUGCCCUUUGUACACACCGCCCGUCGCUACUACCGAUUGAACGUUUUAGUGAGGCAUUUGGACCGACGCAUCUCAGUUUAACCGCUGGUUUGUGUUGGAAAGACUUCCAAACUUGAGCGUUUAGAGGAAGUAAAAGUCGUAACA